UAAGUGCAGAUGGGGACCGUUCUGUUAGACCACUAUACAAGCAUGUGUUUCAUCCAAAGCUUUCUCCUUGGCUCUCUUUUGUUGGUAUACCUUAUCAGACAAUAGUCUUUCUCACGUUGGAAGUACAAGCCAAAUGGAUUGCAAAAGUGUUGUCUGGAAGGGUGCUUUUACCAUCGGAGGAGGAGAUGUUAGCUGAUGUUGAGGAUCAUAAUAGGCAACUUGAGGAAGCUGGGAUCCCAAAACAUCACACGCAUCGCCUAAACUUUCACGAGAUGGAGUACAUGGACUGGGUAGCAGCUCAAGUGGGAUUGCCAUUAGUUGACCCCCAUAAAGGAAAUGCAUUCGAGUAUUUGCAAAUUUGCCGGUGAAGUAGGGUAUGAUCGCUAUAGGGAUUUGUGGGACGUUAAGAAUUUGACUCAAUAGUCUUUG